CCUACGGGUGGCUGCAGUGAGGAAUAUUGGUCAAUGGACGCAAGUCUGAACCAGCCAUGCCGCGUGCAGGAAGAAGGCUCUAUGAGUUGUAAACUUCUUUUGUACGAGGGUAAACGCAGAUACGCGUAUCUGUCUGAAAGUAUCUUACGAAUAAGGAUCGGCUAACUCCGUGCCAGCAGCCGCGGUAAUACGGAGGAUUCAAGCGUUAUCCGGAUUUAUUGGGUUUAAAGGGUGCGUAGGCGGGCGGUUAAGUUAGGGGUGAAAUCCCGAGGCUCAACCUCGGAAUUGCCUUUGAUACUGGUCGGCUAGAGAGGAGUAGCGGUAGGCGGAAUGUAUGGUGUAGCGGUGAAAUGCUUAGAGA
rnacentral:rRNA from 1 species